rnacentral:rRNA from 1 species
GACGAACGCUGGCGGCGUGCUUAACACAUGCAAGUCGAACGAAGAGCGAUGGAAGCUUGCUUCUAUCAAUCUUAGUGGCGAACGGGUGAGUAACGCGUAAUCAACCUGCCCUUCAGAGGGGGACAACAGUUGGAAACGACUGCUAAUACCGCAUACGAUCUAAUCUCGGCAUCGAGGAUAGAUGAAAGGUGGCCUCUACAUGUAAGCUAUCACUGAAGGAGGGGAUUGCGUCUGAUUAGCUAGUUGGAGGGGUAACGGCCCACCAAGGCGAUGAUCAGUAGCCGGUCUGAGAGGAUGAACGGCCACAUUGGGACUGAGACCCGGCCCAGACUCCUACGGGAGGCAGCAGUGGGGAAUCUUCCGCAAUGGACGAAAGUCUGACGGAGCAACGCCGCGUGAGUGAUGACGGCCUUCGGGUUGUAAAGCUCUGUUAAUCGGGACGAAAGGCCUUCUUGCGAAUAGUGAGAAGGAUUGACGGUACCGGAAUAGAAAGCCACGGCUAACUACGUG